CUCAUGGCUGUGGAAGACGAGCUGAGGGGAGGGGUGAUGCCUGAGCAAAAACCCAGGAUGUUCGCAGACCAGGGGAGGCGGCAGUCCAUCCUAGUGCAGCCCCGCCUUGCACCCGUCCCACUGCGAAUGCACAGGAAAAGCAGCUUUCCGCCUUGGGUUCAGCAGACCCCAGUGUGAGUUUUGGAGGAGAAUUGACCAGUGCUCCCGGAGUUGUUGGAGUCUCCCAAUCGGACAAAUCCUCCACCUGAUCCCCCCUGAAUGGAAUCUUGUCCUUCCCGUUAGCCUCCCCUCCUCAUUCGCGUCCUCACGCACAACUCUGGCCAAACGGGGAACUCUCCGGCAACCAAAAAUCAGCAACGGCAUCGAGGGCAAGUUUGGAGGGGGAGCAGGUCAAUAACAACGCUGACCAAAUCCGAGAAAAUCUUUAGGAAUUCCGAAGAAAAACUUCUUUGUCAUCCGCAUUGAAGGAUGAAGCUUCAGCUGUUGUUUUAUUUUGUGCAUUAGACUGAGGACAAGUGGGAGGCGGGACACACCAUUACUUACUCCAUCCAAAACAAAAGGGCUCUCCAUUGGAUCCGAUAUGUUAUUCCAAAAUCACGUUUUCUUUGGAUCAAAGUUAAAAGCCCUUUGCACAUACAGUACCUCUGCCACCACAAGUCAUCCAAACCACUGGAAAGUGCUCGGUUCAGGUUCCAGGUUUUUUGACUGAGCUCCCUCAUAUUGUGAAAAAAAUUCCAAGAAGCUGGGAACAACCCCAGGAACGGUGGGCAAACAAACCAUACGUACGUUUCAAAGUGUAUAGAGGUCGAAAUUUGACUGACGAACACAUGCCAGCUUUGUUUUGGGGAUUCUGUCAUGUUGUCUGGCUUCCCUAGUGCCUUUCUGUAUCUCCUGACAGGGUUUUCAAACAAACGCAAGAAUAACGACAGCAGAAUUGCAGAAAUGUCUUCUCGAGAUUGCUCACUUAGGAGAGACUGAUGUGUUCUUCUGCCUCAAUGUAAUGUUGAAAAUGUCAAGCUUUGGAAUUCGACCGUGGCUUGGGUUUUUUGUGGACAAUGUCUGGGAAGUGCUUGUGGUCUUUGAAUUGCCUCACUAGACUGAACUUGUGCAAUGUUUUCUCUUCUCAAUCUCAGAACCUAUGUGUAUUUAACUGGUGCUAUGGAUUCUCAAAGCAUUGCUCUGUCACAUCACCGCCUCCCAUUCUGUCAUCAUCCUAACUGUUCAUAUGUGUCUUCGUCCUCCCAAUUAUCUCCUUACAGGCCGAUUUCUUUCAGUGUGUGUCUGCAGCGUGAGGUGAGCACGAGGUGAUCUCUGUCAGGUCAAAAACCUUUUGUCUUUUUACUAAAACGAGAUGCUAGGCCAGAAUGCAGUUGUGGUCGUAAGGUAUUUUUUAUACAGAAAUGUUUUCCUUAAAAUUGACGUGAUGUGAAGUGAGCUGAUAUUUCAAAUAAGCAGAACUUUUUUGUGUUUUUUGGUCUUAAAGUCAACAUGAAAGUAAAUUUUAAAGCAACCAGUUUUCCCUCCAAAAUGUGACAUUUUUGAGUAAAAUGGAAAGAAUAGACUUUAUUUUUUAAAUUUUAGGAAUUCAUUGGAUUGUAUAAAUGGGUGUUAUAUACUAGAAUGCAGUCUGGUAGCUAAAAACAAAAGGGAUUUGCGAUGUUUUCUGAAAAAAGUAGUUUGUUAAAAGAUAAUAAAAAACAACCCUCUUUUUUUAUAUAUAUAUAGAAUAGCACGCACCAAAUAAUCAUCAAUAAGACGACUAAGAUUGUAAAAAGUAGACAAUGACUCGCACCAAAUAAUCAUGACAUUUGCAUUCAUGGAAUUGGCAGAUGCUUUUAUGCAAAGCAACUUACAUUUAUCAUUUGACACAUUCUCUGGGAAUCAAACCCAUGACCUACUGUUUAAGCUCUGCUACAAAAUUGUGAAUAAUAAGUUAAAACUAAACAGGGUCCGUUUUGUUUUCAUGUUGACUUUAAAGUUGCUCAAGCAUCUCUAAAGUAGUUUUUGGUGGUGUUGAAUGGUCAUUUCAGGGAAGUUCUUGUUAGAUAACAGACUUGGUUUGUAAAAAAUCAGAUCUUAUGUACUGUACAGAAAUAUUGCUAGCUAUAAUUCCUCAUUUGAGUAUCACUGCCAUCUGAUACUGAUUGUAUUCCUCAUUGUUCACUACAGUUUUUGUUUUAGUGUUUUUUUUUUACGAUUAAUCGGUUCAUUGUCAUGUUUCUACAGACUCAAGACAUUCACAUGGCUUCAGUCAUUCAUUUCUAACCCAAUUCAUUGUUGAUUGCCUUGUUGUCGCAUUGUAAAAUACCCAAGUUCUGUAUGUAACACAGCUGAACCAAUACAGCUGGCCUAGAUGAGAGUGAGGAGAUUUAAGUCGUAACUUCACAAUAAAAACACUGAGCUGUACUGUAAUAUUUAUAGGUUAGGAAGGCACUAGAGAGGAGAAUGGACUGAUUGCCAUUUUAGCUUUUAAGAGCUUCGAGGGCUAUCUUUAAGUGACUUCUACUCCAUUUAGUAAUAAUAGCAGGCAAUUUUAUUUAUGUCCCAAAAGCGGCUGAGAAAAAGUGGGAUAACAGGGUUAUCAGUUGAUAAAUGUGCCAUGACAUGAAUAUACCUCAGACGUAGAAUCGAAUGACUCAGGUAAACUUGCAAUUGCCUCACAGUUUAACGCAAACUGGAUAGAAAAAAAUCAUUUUAAGUUGAACUGCCUGUUUUGGCAGUUAGUCCAUUUCUUCUCUGAGAUUAGUAGCAGUGAUUGGUCAGCGGCUCAUCAAGCACCUCCUCUUUUCCCUGCAUGUCCAGCCAAUCACAAAGCUUCGUGGAGGACAAUCUGGAACCUAAUUGGAGGCCUCACCUUGGACAUUCUUCUGGUUGGCCAGGUUUUAAUUCCAGGGCGCUGUCACGCGAUUCGGUUGGUUGACAGAGGAGAAACUGAGGCUUUGACCCAGUGCCAGAGCCGAUCCAAAGAAAAAAUAUAGGUUCCCUUCCUCUGACGUGCCCUCUCUCUGAUAUAAUUCGAUAUGAUGACCGUUUGGGAUGCUGUCAGACGGCUUCUGCGUGCCCCUUGAUGGCACGAGAGAUGACGUCACACGCAGCGCAGUGGUUCGUUGAGAGAGCUGGAGAGGUUCUGAGGAUCAGAUCAAUCUCAAAGGUGCUGUUUUUUAGGUUCUUUACUAAAUACAUGUAGGAUAUUGAACAAUCCUCUACUUCUUCUCAUUAUGAUCUUCAUAUGCCACAUUAGCUCUGCCUGUCAUGCCUGCCUGUGUCUCAGUCAUGUCUUUUUUUGGGGGGAAACUGAAUACACACAGCCUUUUUCUUUCUUUUUUCUCAAGAGAUGCUGAUUUGUCCUUCAGCAGAUUUGAUAAGAGGCUGGAAAUAUCUGAACUUUUGUUUCCUGGUGGUUUUCUACAUUUUGACUGGACCUCACCCAGAUGAUCACAUAUUUACAUGCUGGUAAUGUGAGACAAGAACUUGAAAAGUCUGAAAAUAAUCUUUUUUUUUUUUUUUUUUUGAUCUGUGAAUUUAUGUGACAAUCUCUUUGCAAAGCAAAAUUGAAAACCUGUUAUUUUACCUGCUCCCCCUUCCGGCACUUUGCUACGUCCCGGAUCCUCACCAACUCCUUUGUAUGUGAAAGAACGAUGGAUUCAUUUACUUUUUAAUUCUUUUUGGUUUUGCUGUGGAGUUCUUGUUUUUAUGGACGACACCAUUUGGAUGUGGAAUCCUCUUAUUUUGAAAUUUGGCUGUCGCACGUUUGUAGAAUUGUGGGUAGUUUUGCGAAGCCAAGUUGCUGUUUUAAAUUGAACUUUAUUUCCUUGUUUGGAUGCCAUUGCCGGGCAACACGGACAUUUCUCUGCUUCCUUUUUACACCACUAGACAAAAAUAUAAAUGUUGAGAGAUCAUGCAGGUUAAAUAAUGUUGUGGGUGACUGUGUGUAUAUAGAGUGUGUGUACAGUCUUUAUGUAUAUACUGGAUGUAUGGAUGGUUAUAUAAUAUAAAUAUAAAUAUACAUGUAUUUUGUACAUAAAUAUGUUUGUAUAUGCAGUGUACAGAAUGUGUUCUUUUACACCGAUUUCUCUUUUUCUCGACAUGUGGAAAAAGAAAAAGCAUAACAGAACUUUGUGGGAAUGAAAACUCGCGUUGGCGACUCGUCGGCGGAGUUAUUCGAAGCACUUUUCGCUCAGGCUGAUUGUACCCAGUUUGAAACCUACAAUGCAUCGCCGUGAGUCCGCCACGCAUUUUGCCAGUCUGAAGCUUGCACUCAUUUUCUCACUGAUAGAGGUGUUUUGUAACACAUUCUGGGUGACAAAGCAAUGCUUGUACAUAAAUAUAUAGGCUUAAUACCUACCAUAUGUUUGCAUAUAUCAGCUUUUCCAGACAUGAGUCACCUGCUAAUCUUUGCAGCUUUUGCAUCUCCACAAUGCAGUGCCGUGCAUCAGAUGAGGUUUUUUUGGUUUGCUGUAGAAGGUCGAUCUCGUGAGAAGACGUCCCCAUUUUACUCUGCUGAUCUUUUGUAUGGCCUGAUGCUUUAUUCCCUCGUUACUUGCCUAGCAACUCUUCCAUGCAAGUAAUCGCUUCUUUGUCCCCUGUAAAUGAAUGGAGUUCCCAUGAUGUGCCUCUUUCUAAUAAACUUUAGUUGGUCUCUGUCAGCCAUAAGCCAAUCACAGUCAUCUUUCUUGACAAGCCAUAAGCCCCGCCCCUAAAUUUCCAUUUUUGAAAAGGGCAGACACUUGGGAAUUUUAUUUCUUUUUGUAUAUAUUAUAUUAAUAGCAAGAGUGGUAUGUCAGAGUGCAUUACCGAUGUUUUUGGAUUUGUUAUGAAUGUUGAUAUUCUGGUUAUUGGAUUAUGAUUAUUAUUGUAAUAAUAUAAUAACUGCUGUUAUCAUUUCAUCAUUCUUUAGUUUAUUCAAUACUGUUAAAGACUUUCAUUUCUUUUUGAAUAAAUCGGAAUUUAUAUUUUUCGGGUGGGCUAAUUAUAGAAAUUAAAUCAAUUAAACAGAUGAAUAAAGAAAUAAAUUAUUAUUGAAUUCA